AUUCAAAAGCUAGGUGAUUUUUCAGGGUUUUUUUUGUUGACAGAUUGGGGAAGUAGGCAGUCUGUUCUAUUUUUAGCCCAAGCUUGGUGGCACGACUUCCUGUGAAGAGCCUUAACAUGGAAUGCUUGGUAGUUCUUUCACACACCCAAGCCACUUGUGUUUCAGAUUGAUUGACAUUGUGCCUCAGCUUGAUUGAAAUCACUUAACCUCUAGGCCGCUCUGCAUCUCAAGUGGGAGUCAAUAAGUCGAUGCUUGACGUGGGCCAUUUUCCAUGUCAGUGAUGCACAUAGGAAUUGUGUCAGUCAAAUGGAGCAACGGAGCAAUCAAGAUGAGGAAGUCACAUGCCGUCAAGCAGGAAACAACAAGGAAAUUUCUUCAUAGCCAAGUAGCAUGGAGCUAUCAGAAAAAGGAAGGAUUCAUUUACUUAACCAGUAAAUGCAUGGGAUUGGCUAUAAGAUAAAAACAUUGGACUGAAUAAAUGAUAAACAGUUUUUUUGUAGAACAUAUAAGGUUGAAUAUAUGUGAUGUGAAAUUUGCACAUUGAAUAUAUGUGAUGUGAAAUAAUUUUCCACGUCGAAAAUCUGGGAUUUAUUCCCGAACAGAACUUUUUUAUAAUUUGAAACAUUCAAAACAGAAAGAAGAAAUCUCAAAGAAAGACGUCUUGAAUAUUUAAUAUUCUUGCUUCUGCAUUAUCUCUACCUCCUUGUUUAAAUGUAAGCAAAUGAUAUUGUCCAUGUUAACCGCUUGGUACAAAAGCUCAAUUUUUCCUCAUGUCUAAACUCUUCUACUGAAGCGUACGCAUACGAUCAGAUGACAUUCAGAUUGAUUUGAUCGAAAAAUGGAUCAGAAGGUUUUGCACAAAUCUUUGGAGUCAGGCAAAAAAUAAAAA